UAUAUACUCCCUCCGUUUAGAAUUACUUGUCGCAGGUAUGAAUGUAUCUAGAUGUAUUUUAGUUCUAGAUACAUCCAUUUCUACGACAAGUAAUUUGAAACGGAGGAAGUAUAAU
rnacentral:pre_miRNA from 1 species